UCCCUGAUGGUCCAGUGGCUAAGACUCCAUGUUCGCAAUUCAUGGGGCCUGGGUUCGAUCCCUGGUCAGGGAA
rnacentral:tRNA from 1 species